AAUGAACGUUGGCGGCGUGGAUUAGGCAUGCAAGUCGAGCGAGAAAUUGUGAUCUGAUCCUUCGGGUGAAGUGAUCAAUGGAAAGCGGCAAACGGCGUAGUAAUGCGUAGGUACGUACCCUCGGAUCGGGAAUAGCCACGGGAAACUGUGGGUAAUGCCCGAUAAUGUCUGUGGACCAAAGGUGUGAUUCCGUCCGAGGAGCGGCUUACGUGAUAUUAGCUUGUUGGUGGGGUAAUGGCCUACCAAGGCUACGAUGUCUAGGGGGUGUGAGAGCAUGGCCCCCACGACCGGAACUGAGACACUGUCCGGACACCUACGGGUGGCUGCAGUCGAGAAUCUUCCGCAAUGGACGAAAGUCUGACGGAGCGACGCCGCGUGCGGGAUGAAGGCCCUUGGGUUGUAAACCGCUGUCAGAGGGGAUGAAAUCAUGGUUGGCUAUCCUUCCAUGUUGACAGAGCCUCAGAGGAAGCACGGGCUAAGUACG
rnacentral:rRNA from 1 species